rnacentral:misc_RNA from 1 species
GAUGAAGAACGUAGCGAAAUGCGAUACGUAAUGUGAAUUGCAGAAUUCAGUGAAUCAUCGAGUCUUUGAACGCACAUUGCGCCCCCUGGUAUUCCGGGGGGCAUGCCUGUCCGAGCGUCAUUGCUGCCCUCAAGCCCGGCUUGUGUGUUGGGUCUCGUCCCCCUUCCCGGGGGGACGGGCCCGAAAGGCAGCGGCGGUACCGCGUCCGGUCCUCGAGCGUAUGGGGCUUUGUCACCCGCUCUGUAGGCCCGGCCGGCGCUUGCCGAUCAACCAAAACUUUUUUCCAGGUUGACCUCGGAUCAGGUAGGGAUACCCGCUGAACUUAAGCAUAUCAAUAAGCGGAGGA